rfam:Eimeria necatrix Houghton genomic scaffold, Enh_scaff1740
AAGCCAAUAGCUUAAGUUGGAAGAGCAUGUGGCUACGGACCACAAUAGUGUGGGUUCAAUUCCCUCUUGGCUUU